CCUACGGGUGGCUGCAGUAAGGAAUAUUGGUCAAUGGACGAAAGUCUGAACCAGCCAUCCCGCGUGCAGGAUGAAAGCCCUAUGGGUUGUAAACUGCUUUUAUCAGAGAAGAAAAGCUUUCAUUAAUGAGAGUCUGACGGUAUCUGCAGAAUAAGCACCGGCUAACUCCGUGCCAGCAGCCGCGGUAAUACGGAGGGUGCCAGCGUUAUCCGGAAUUAUUGGGUUUAAGGGGUGCGUAGGCGGCAGAUUAGAAAGCUUGUCGCUUAACGAUAGAAGUGCCAAUGAUACUGGUACUCUUGAAUUGGGUUGAGGUAAGCGGAAUGUGACAUGUAGCGGUGAAAUGCAUAGAUAUGUCAUGGAACACCGAUUGCGAAGGCAGCUUACUGGGCCUUGAUUGACGCUGAGGCACGAAAGCGUGGGUAGCGAACAGGAUUAGAUACCCUGGUAGUC
rnacentral:rRNA from 1 species